UACGUAGGGUGCGAGCGUUAAUCGGAAUUACUGGGUGUAAAGGGUGCGCAGGCGGGAGAGUAAGUCAGAGGUGAAAUCUCACAGCUUAACUGUGAAACUGCCUUUGAUACUGCUUUUCUUGAGUUCGGGAGAGGUUGAUGGAAUUCCAGGUGUAGCGGUGAAAUGCGUAGAUAUCUGGAAGAACACCAGUGGCGAAGGCGGUCAACUGGCCCGUAACUGACGCUCAGGCACGAAAGCGUGGGUAGCGAACAGG
rnacentral:rRNA from 1 species